rnacentral:rRNA from 1 species
UACGUAGGGUGCAAGCGUUGUCCGGAAUUAUUGGGCGUAAAGAGCUCGUAGGCGGUCUGUCGCGUCGGAUGUGAAAGCCCCCGGCUCAACUGGGGAGGGUCAUUCGAUACUGUUCGACUCGAAGGCAGGAGAGGGAAGUGGAAUUCCGGGUGUAGUGGUGAAAUGCGUAGAUAUCCGGAGGAACACCAGUGGCGAAGGCGACUUUCUGGCCUGUUCUUGACGCUGAGGCGCGAAAGCUAGGGGAGCAAACGGG